AUUGAACGCUGGCGGCAGGCCUAACACAUGCAAGUCGAGCGGAUGAAGGGAGCUUGCUCCUGGAUUCAGCGGCGGACGGGUGAGUAAUGCCUAGGAAUCUGCCUGGUAGUGGGGGAUAACGUCCGGAAACGGGCGCUAAUACCGCAUACGUCCUGAGGGAGAAAGUGGGGGAUCUUCGGACCUCACGCUAUCAGAUGAGCCUAGGUCGGAUUAGCUAGUUGGUGGGGUAAAGGCCUACCAAGGCGACGAUCCGUAACUGGUCUGAGAGGAUGAUCAGUCACACUGGAACUGAGACACGGUCCAGACUCCUACGGGAGGCAGCAGUGGGGAAUAUUGGACAAUGGGCGAAAGCCUGAUCCAGCCAUGCCGCGUGUGUGAAGAAGGUCUUCGGAUUGUAAAGCACUUUAAGUUGGGAGGAAGGGCAGUAAGUUAAUACCUUGCUGUUUGGACGUUACCAACAGAAUAAGCACCGUCUAACUUCGU
rnacentral:rRNA from 1 species